CAGGCUCACAGGGCGUGGCUCGGGCUCGCAGGGCGUGGCUCGGGCUCGAGGGGGCGUCUAAGCUACAGGACAGCUUCGGGCUAGAACUGUCCCUACCUAACAGUCCUGUGGAGCCGCACGACGCCGCUCCGCCCGCUCGCCAUGUGGCCCCCGCUGGUCCUGCUGCUGCUGCUGCUCCCCGCCGCCCCCGUCCCCACCGCCGAGGCCGCUCCGCUCCCGGACGCCGGCACCCAGGAAGGCCUUCAGAGUUUGCUCCAAGGAGCCCCAGCUGGCCCAGACGGAGAGCUGUGGGCGGACUCAAGUUCGGCCCACAGCUCGGGCUGUCCUCCCGGCUCGUGAGGUGGCUGCGGCGGCGGUGCAGCGUGGACCCCCGGGAGGACCUGCAGCUCCUAGAGACAUAUCCACGGAGAUCACGGGCGGGGCGAUCCUGGGGCUCCCCGAUUCCUCAGCCUGCCUCUUGUCCCUUCCCAGGCCCAUCACCUGCUGUAUAGGCUGGGGGUUGACAUCAAGGCACUGGAGGGGGGCAGAUAUGGACCCUCACCAGAGCCCACCCCAGCACCAUUUAGAAAUAAAAUUCUUUCUUAGUUA